UCGCACAGUUCAUUGUCCUGCUCUCCAGUGCCAUGAGAGCUGUGAUAUUUCUGUUGUGCCAGAGCAACCUGCAGGAUAAUUAGCAGACGGGCUUGUUGUAGCUCGCCUGCCAGUCCCCUUCAGACAAGA